GUUAAGAGAGACUCAAGUGCACAUCUUUACUCUUACUUCUUCUAUUCUGAACAGGAGACGAGAUGGUGUGUACUAGAGCGCUGGGAUUCGUCCUGCUCUUUCUGCUCCCUCUGGCUUUGGGAAAUGACAUUGGAAAUCUCAAGGAAAUAAUUAACAAACUUCAUGAAAUCUCUGGAAUUGAAAAUAAUCAGUACGCUAUGGCAAUUAAUGUCCCAGCUGAAUACUGUAAAGGAGGUGACAAACUCGACCAGAACUUCCUGUCUCAGGAUAGU